GUGCUCGCUUCAGCAGUACAUAUACUAACACUGGAACAAUACAGAGAAGGUUGGCAUGGCCCCUACACAAGGAUGACACACAAAUUCAUGAAGUGUCCCAUAUUUAA